rnacentral:rRNA from 1 species
UACGGAGGGAGCUAGCGUUGUUCGGAAUUACUGGGCGUAAAGCGCACGUAGGCGGCUUUGUAAGUUAGAGGUGAAAGCCCGGGGCUCAACUCCGGAACUGCCUUUAAGACUGCAUCGCUUGAAUCCAGGAGAGGUGAGUGGAAUUCCGAGUGUAGAGGUGAAAUUCGUAGAUAUUCGGAAGAAACACCAGUGGCGAAGGGCGGCUCACUGGAGCUGGUAUUGACGCUGAGGUGGCGAAAGCGUGGGGAGCAAACAGG